rnacentral:rRNA from 1 species
UACAGAGGGUGCAAGCGCUGUUCGGAAUUACUGGGCGUAAAGGGCGCGUAGGCGGCUUUAUAAGUUUGGUGUGAAAGCCCUGGGCUUAACCUAGGAAUAGCAUUGAAUACUGUAAGGCUAGAGGCCGAGAGAGGGAAAUGGAAUUGCGAGUGUAGAGGUGAAAUUCGUAGAUAUUCGCAAGAACACCAGUGGCGAAGGCGAUUUCCUGGCUCGGUACUGACGCUAAGGCGCGAAAGCGUGGGGAGCAAACAGG